UGAAGAAUAUUGGGCAAUGGGCGAAAGCCUGACCCAGCAACGCCGCGUGAAGGAAGAAGGUUUUCGGAUUGUAAACUUCUGUCCCAUGGGAAGAAAAAAAUGACGGUACCAUGGGAGGAAGCCCCGGCUAACUACGUGCCAGCAGCCGCGGUAAUACGUAGGGGGCGAGCGUUGUCCGGAAUGACUGGGCGUAAAGGGCGCGUAGACGGCUGUCUAAGUCUGGAGUGAAAGUCCUGCUUUCAAGGUGGGAAUUGCUUUGGAGACUGGAUGGCUUGAGUGCGGAAGAGGUAAGUGGAAUUCCCAGUGUAGCGGUGAAAUGCGUAGAGAUUGGGAGGAACACCAGUGUCGAAGGCGACUUACUGGGCCGUAACUGACGUUGAUGCGCGAAAGCGUGGGGAGCGAACAGG
rnacentral:rRNA from 2 species